UAAUUGUCUUAUUGUUUUAUCCGUGUGCCCUUGUAUUGCAGUUGUUGUUUUAAAUGUGAGUUUAAUGUGUGUAAUCUCCUCUGCAGGUCACAAUUAUAGCCGCUGGUGUUUGGACUGCAGUCACAGUGAAGGUUUUGGAAACUUUCAGCGUGUCCUCCUCUCUGCUGGCUCCGGUGUUUGGCCUGCCUCUUCAGUAUGACUGGGACCCCCACCGUCAGGUUGAAGCUGGUCCAGAGCUGUACUGGAGGCCUGUGUGGUUGCUGUGGAAAUGCCAUGUCUUGCCCACUGAAUAGUCAUGAUGAGUCCUGUGACACAGCCUGCCUUGCCACCCUUGAGAUUCGGUUCAAGCCCCUGCACCUUGGCCUGGGAGGUUUUUGUCCAGUAUGGUGACGCCUGUGCCCUCUUGUCCCAGAGUGGCGUCAUUCACAAUGGCAACAGUUGCCACAGCAACCUGUUAGUACCAGAUACUAGGUAUAUGUGGACAAAAAGGACUUGAAAUAGACUCAGAACUUCAAGUCUUGAUAAAUGUGAGUGGUGUUCUUCUGAAGCUCACCAGCAAAAACACUGAGAACACUGAGGUGAGCGCAAAUAUCAAAUUGUUGCUGUAUUUGUGUGUUGUUGUUGUUGUUGUUGUUUAAUUGUAGUGUCAUAAUAAGUGGUUCUAUCAUCAGCACUUAUAAAUAAAUAUUAUAAUAAAUAAA